UACGAAGGGUGCAAGCGUUACUCGGAAUUACUGGGCGUAAAGCGUGCGUAGGUGGUUUGUUAAGUCUGAUGUGAAAGCCCUGGGCUCAACCUGGGAAUUGCAUUGGAUACUGGCAGGCUAGAGUGCGGUAGAGGAUGGCGGAAUUCCCGGUGUAGUGGUGGAAUGCGUAGAUAUCGGGAGGAACACCAGUGGCGAAGGCGGUUGCCUGGAGCUUUGCUGACGCUGAGGCGCGAAAGCGUGGGGAGCGAGCGG
rnacentral:rRNA from 1 species